AAUGUAGAAACAUGUGAGCACAAAAUAGACAGUAGUAGAAAUAAUACUAGAAUGAUAGGUAGGGGUGUAUGGGUGUGUGUGUGUGUGUGUGUGUGUGUGUGUG